rnacentral:lncRNA from 10 species
GUCCUUUUCUUCCUGAUUGAAGUACUCCCUUUAGCAUUCCUUUAGGACAGGUAUGGUAUUCAUAAAAUACUUCAGCUUUUGUUUGUCUGAAAAAGUCAGUAUUCUUUUUUUUUGAAGAACAUUUUCACUGUAUAUUCUAUUCUAAGGUAAAAGUUUCUUUCCUUUAGUACUUUAAAUAUUUAUUGCUUCUCUCUCCCGGCCAGUAGAGUUUCCACUGUAAAGUCUGCUGCCAGACAUGUUGGAGCUCCCCAGUAGGUUAUUUGUUUCUUUUCUCUUUCUUGCUUAAGAACUUUUAUCUUUGACUUUUGGAAGACUAUUGAAUGCUUCGAAGUAGUGUUUUUUGGGUUAAAUCUGCUUAAUGUUCUAUAACAUUUUUGUAGUUGGAUAUGGAUGUCUUUCUCUAGGUUUGGAAAGUUCUCUGUUAUUAUCCCUUUGAAUAAAUUUUUCUACCCCUGCCUCUUUCUCUACAUCUUCUUUAAAACCAAUAACUCUUAGAUCUGUCUUUGUGAGGCUAUUUUCUAGAUCCUCCCCUGCCUCUUUCUUUACAUCUUCUUUAAAACAAAUAACUCUUAGAUCUGUCUUUGUGAGGCUAUUUUCUAGAUCCUGUCGGCAUGAUUUGUUGUUUUUAUUCUUUUUCUUUUGUCUCUUCUAUGUAUUUUCAAAGAGCCUGUCUUCAAGCUCACUAUUUCUUCUGCUUGAUCCAUUCUGCUAUUACAUGGCUCUAAUGCAUUCUUCAGCAUGCCAAUUGCAUUUUUCAGCUCAGAAUGUCUGCUUAAUUUACUGUAACUAUUUCAAUCUCUUUGUUGAGUUUAGCUGAUAAAAUUUGGAAUUUCCUUACUUUGUUAUCUUAAAUUUCUUUCAGUUUUUUUUUUUUAAAUACAGCUAUUUUGAAUUCUCUGUCUGAAACAUCACAUAUCUCUUUUUCUCCAGGAUUUGUCCCCAGUGCCUUAUUUAGUUCACUUGGUGAGGUCAUGUUUUCCUGGAUGGUGUUGAUGCUAGUAGAUGUUCUUCAGUGUCUGGACAUUAAAAUCUUGGGCAUGCAGCACCAUAUGAGAAGUUUAAAAAAUAAAAUUUAAAGAGAGAAAAGGUGAGUAUUUAUUGUAGUCUUCACUGUCUGGGAUUAUUUGUAGCUAUCUUUCUUGGGAAGGCUUUUCACAUAUUUGAAAAGAGUUGGGUGUUGUGAUCUAAGCCAUAUCUGCUUUAUGGAGCACCUUAUACCCAAUAAUGCUGUAAUUCUUCCAGACUCAGAGAAGUACCACCUUGACAGCCUUCAACAAGAUCCAGGAGAAUUUUCUGGAUUACUAGCCACAGACUCUUUCCCUACCCUUAUUUUCUCUCAAAGAUACAGAGUCUUUCUCUCUGUUCUAAGCCACCUAAAGCUGGGAGAAGAAAGACACAAGCACCUCUGGCCACCACCACUAUGACUGCCCUGGAUCAGACCUGAAGCUAGCACAGCACAGGUCUUGCUCAAGUCCUGCUGCAUGCAAUUUCUGACGACUCCCUAUGUUCACUCAAGGCCUUUGGUCUCUACAAUUAGCAGGUGGCAAAGCCAGACAGGCCUGUGUUCUUUCCUUUAGGGCAGUGAGAUCCCUCAGUCCCUGGCUGGGUCCAGAAGUGCUAUUCAGAAGUCAGGGCUUUGGCCACUUUUUAAUAGGGUUUUUUGUUUUUCUCUUGUAAAUUUAAGUUCCUCAUAUUGAAUAUUAGAUCUUUGUCAGAUACAUAGUUUGUAAAUAUUUUUUCCUCAUUCUAUAGGUUGUUCACUCUAUUGAUAAUUUCUUUUGCUGAGCAGAAGCUUUUAAGUUUAAUUAGAUCCCACUUGUCAAUAGUUGUAUUUGUUGUUUUUGGUGUCUUUAUCAUGAAAUCUUUGCCUCUUUCUAUGUCCAGGAUGGUAUUGUCUAGGUUGUCUUCCAGAGCUUUUAUAGUUUUGGGUUUUACAUUUAAGUAUUUAAUCCACCUUGAGUUGAUUUUUGUAUAUGGUAUAAGGAAGAAGUCCAACUUCAAUCUUCUGCAUAUGGCUAGCCAGUUAUCCCAGCACCAUUUAUUGAAUAGGGAAUCUUUUCCCCAUUGAUUGUUUUUGCCAGCUUUGUGAAAGAUUACCUAGUUGUAGGUAUGUGGUCUUACUUCUAACCUCUCUAUUCUGUUCCACUGGUGUAUGUGUCUGUUUUUGUACUAGUACCAUGCUGUUUUGGUUACUAUGGUGCUGUAGGUUAGUUUGAAGUCGGGUAAUGUGAUGCCUCAAGCUUUGUUCUUUUUGCUUAGGAUUGCCUUGGCUACUUAGGUUCUUUCUUGGUUCUAUAUGAAUUUUUAAAUAGCUUUUUUCUACUUCUGUGAAGCAUGUCAUUGGUAGUUUAAUAGGAAUAGCUUUGGACAGUACAACCAUUUAAAUGAUAUUAAUUCUUUCUCUCCAUUAAGAUGGAAUGAUUUUUCAUUUAUUUGUGUCUUCUCUGACUUCUUUGAGCAGUGUUUUGUAAUUUUCAUUGUAGAGAUUUUUCACCUCCCUGGUUAGCUGUAUUUGUAUGUACUUUAUUCUUUUUGUGGAAAUUGUGAAUAAAAUUGCCUCUCUGAUUUGGCUCUUAGUUUGGCUCUUCUUGGUGUAUAGGAAUGCUAGCAAAUUUCGUACAUUGAUUUUGUGUCCUGAAACUUUGUGGAAGUUGUUUAUCAGCUUAAGGAGUUUUGGGUCACAACUAUAGGGUUUAGAUACAGAAUUAUGUUGUCUGCAAACAGAGGUAGUUGGACUUCUCUUUCUAUUUAAAUACGCUUUAUUUCUUUCUCUUGUCUGAUUGCUCCAGAAAGGACUUCUAAUACUAUGUUGAAUAGGAGUGGUGAGAGAGGGCAUGCUUGUCUUGUGCGGGUUUCAAGGAGGAUGCUUCAAGAUUUUGCCCAUUUAGUAUAAUGUUGGCUGUGAGUUUGUCAUAGGUGGCCUUUAUUAUUUUGAGGUAUGUUCCUUUGAUACCUCAUUUAUUGAGAAUUUUUAACUUGAAGCUUUGUUGAAUUUUACUGAAAGUCUUUUCUGCAUCUGUUGAGACAAUCACGUGGUUAUUAUCUUUAGUUUUAUUUAUGUUAUGAAUCACAUUUUAUUGAUUUGCCCAUGAUGGACCACCCUUCUAUUCCAGGGAAGAAGCUUAUUUCACUAUGGUGAAUUAGCCUUUUGAUGUGUUGCUAGAUUCAGUUUGCAAGUAUUUUGUUGUGGAUCAUUGAAUGGAUGUUCAUCAAGGAUACUGGCCUGAAGUUUUCUUUUUUUGUUUUGUCACUGCCAGGCUUUGGUAUCAGGAUGAUUCUGGCCUCAUAGAACAAGAUGGGGAAGAGUCCCUCCUCCUCUAUUUCUUGAAAUAGUUUCAGUAGGACUGGUACUGGCUCUUCUUUGUACAUCUGUUAAAAUUUGUUAAUCUAUCAGGUCCUGGGCUUUUUGGGGGUUGGUAGGCUAUUUAUUACGGAUUCAAUUUUUGGAGCUCAUAAUUGGUCUGCUCAGAGACUGAAUUUCUUCCUGGUUCAGUCUUGAGAGAGUAUAUGUGUCCAGGAAUUUAUUAAUCUCUUCUAGGGUUUCUAGUUUGUGUGUAUAGAGGUGCUCGUAGUAGUUACUGGUUGUUAUUUUUUUUUCUCUGGGGUCAGUGGUAACAUUCCCUUCAUCAUUUCUAAUUUUCUUUAUUUGAAUCUUCUCUCAUCUUCUUUAUUAAUCUAGCUAGUGCCCUAUCUUAGUAAUUUUUUCAAAAAACCUUGAUUAAGUGAUCUUUUGAACAGUUUUUCAUGUCUCAAUUUCUUUCAAUUCAGCUCUGAUUUUAGUUAUUUCUUGUCUUCUAUAAGCUUUGUGGUUGAGUUCUCCUUGCUUCUCUAAUUCUUUCAGUUGUGAUGUUAGGUUGUUAAUUUGAGAUAUUUCUAAUUUUUUGAUAUGGGCAUUACUUCUUAUGCCCUACUCUAAAUUUUGUUCUUCUAGAAAACUCAGAACUAUGCUUUCUAAACCAAUUCAAACUUUCUCAGUGAAUCAACCUGGACUCCCUGAGGCCAAGUUAGCAAUUUUCCAUUACACUUGGUUCUCUUUCUCUGUAAGAAUAUCUAAUGCAACAAUUCAAGUGUUUCUUUCCCUCCUGGUAAUGCGGGGAACUCCUUUUGGCUGAGACCAAGACUUAAAACCUUGUUCUUUCAACAUUAAUGAAGAUCUAUUUAGAAAGCCUCCAUUUUUGCAGAAAAGAUAUAUAAACACCAAUGAAAAUCAAUAUGAAAUUAUAUGACAUACAAUUAUAUUGUGGAAAGACUGAAUAAAUAAGUGAACUAAGCUCUAAGAAAAAAAGAUGAUGAUAUAAAAUGAUAUAGAAGUAAAAACCUGGGCUGGUAUAGCAUAAUUAAUGUAUCAGUAAAGUAUGUACAUUGUAGAAGUGGCAGGAAGACAGCAUAGAGAGUGAGACCUGACCAAAAGCUUUAAGGAAAGUUCUAUACCCUUAAACGAGAUUAAAGUGGACUCAGGAAAACAUGGGCCACAUGAGGGGAAGGACACAUGUUCCAGAUGAGCCAAAGCUCAGAGCAUCUCUACCUUCUCCAGGAGGAAAGGGGAGGCAAAGCAGCAGGCAGAAGACAGCACGGCCAGGUCAGCACAGGGCACCCAGGCCAAGCCAGGUGGGCUCCAUCAUACAGAACCUGGAAUGUCGCUAUAUGACUCAUAAAACAGCAAGGUUAAGACAGAACAUGUCAUUUUUUCCCAGAAAUGCUGAAACACUUUCCUUCCCUUGGCUUCAGUGUCACCUUCUUUCUCCUGGUUCUCCAUCAACCUCUUUGGCUGAUCCUUCUUGAUUUCCUUCUUGACAAUCUGCUGCUGCUCAGCCAUUCUCUUUUCAUUCCCCAUGGAUUUCUCAAGUGCGUUUCUAUUCCUGCAUUUUAAACUUUCCUUGUUUUUCCUGACACCUCUCCUUGUCUGACUCACCCCUGUUCUAAGGCAGGUGUUCCAUCUGUGUGCGCUUUUGGCACCCUGGGAUGCUCCCAGCAUGUUCCCUGCCACACUCCAUCAGGUUUUCUCCGCAGACUCUGUGAGGGCAGCAGCCUUGUCUCCACCAUUCCUUCAAUGCUCAGCACAUAACACAGAAGCUGACUCCAUAACAUUUAGUUGGCCAACUGAGACUAAAUAUAUGUUCCUCUAGAUCUUAAAAAGUUACAGAAACAUAGCACAAUAGACAAAAUAUUCUCUUUAGUCAGGAGUUCUCUAUAUAUGUACAACAGUUUGAAGUCAUUAUUAAAGCAAAGUGAAAGAGAAACUGUCACAGAAUUCCCCAAGAUAAAUUAUUUUGCUUUAGUCUUCAUCAUGUGAGAUAAUCAAGACCAUGUGUUAUUGUAAAUAUUUCUAGCUUACAACACAACGACCUGAUUUUUAUUGUGUGAAAUAACCGCAAUAUAAAUCAGUUAAUUAAAAAUUGCAUAAAUAAUCCUUUCAAAUAAAAUUCUGCCUAAAUUUUACAUUACUCAUAUGUUCAAAUGAUAAUGAGCUCAUAGGCUUUUCCAAUACCUCAGUCAAAACACUGUACUGAUUCCAGCUGUGGGAAUAGUAUCUGAAAGUUAUUUUACAGAUGGGGAACAGGUACUUACCUGACAUUGGCCUUUACACUACUGUGCCCUUUUAGGUCAGGAAAAAGCUGUUCCCUUAAAAUCCUAAAAUCUCUUCUGUCAGGUCUGAAGGGUGGGUGGGAAACACAGUUUUACAAAUUUUAGCCACAGAUGUUUUAUUCCUUGCUUAAAGCAGUGACUAGAUAAAGGCCACUAGAAGAGUCUCCAAUGUUUCUUUAGAAGCGUGUGCCUGAGAACAUCUUCCAGAAACACUCCCUUGUCUCUGCCCAAAAUCACCUUAGGUAGGAAAAUCAAAACUCAGCAGGCUGAGGGAUCCAAGGGGAUCACUGAGCUCUGAGUCUUAUGAGAGAAGAGAGAGAGGUCUAAGACUUUUUGUGUAUAAAUUUAUGGGUUCCAAGUGUAAUUUUGCUGUAAGCAUGGAUGGCAUAGUGGUGAAGUCAGGGCUUUUAGGUAUCCAUCACCAGAAUAAUGCACAUUGUACCCAUUAAGUAAUUUCUCACUGUUCACCCCUUCCAUCCCCUCACCCUGCUGAGUCUCCAUUAUCAUUCCACUCUCUACGUCAAUAUCUACACAUCUUUUAGCACCCGCUUAUGAGUGAUACAAUAUGAUGUUUACUCUGUGUCUGGCUUGCUUCACUUACAACAAUGGCCUCCAGUUCCAUCCAUGUGUCUGCAAAAGUUAUAAUUCUAUUGUUUUUUAUGCCUGAAUGGUAUUUCAUUGUGUAUAUUUUCUACAUUUUCUUUCUCCAAUCAUUUGUUGAUGGGUAUUUAGUUUCAUUUUAUGUCUGUGCUACUGUGAAUAGUGUUGCAACAAAUACACAAGUACAGUUAUCUUUCUGAUACAUUGAUUUCUUUUCCUUUGCAUAAAUACUCAGUGGUGGGAUUGCUGAAUCAGACAGAGCCAAUAGAUGAUCAGUAAUGGUGGCCAAUCAUCAGCUAGAAAGAAAGUGCUUAGCAGGGCUUGAAAACACCAAAACUCUGAGACCACUGACCUUCAAAAACUUCAACAGCCCUGAGUGAAAAGUCCAAACACAUUUAUCUACCAUUCGAAGACGCUUUAUUGUCUGUCCUCUGCACAUCUCAGUAGUCUCUUUUUACCACACUGUCUAUAUACUGCAUGAGCCAUUUAUAUGAAACUAUCUGACACUCCAAGGCAUCUUGUACUAUAUAUUCAACUAUGUAUCCCUAGUACCUAGCACAGUCCUGGCAUAUAGUUUGCUACUAAACUUUUACAGAAU